rnacentral:rRNA from 1 species
GGUGGCGCGCUACCUGCAAGUCGAACGGUAACAGGAAGCAGCUUGCUGCUUCGCUGACGAGUGGCGGACGGGUGAGUAAUGUCUGGGAAACUGCCUGAUGGAGGGGGAUAACUACUGGAAACGGUAGCUAAUACCGCAUAACGUCGCAAGACCAAAGAGGGGGACCUUCGGGCCUCUUGCCAUCAGAUGUGCCCAGAUGGGAUUAGCUAGUAGGUGGGGUAACGGCUCACCUAGGCGACGAUCCCUAGCUGGUCUGAGAGGAUGACCAGCCACACUGGAACUGAGACACGGUCCAGACUCCUACGGGAGGCAGCAGUGGGGAAUAUUGCACAAUGGGCGCAAGCCUGAUGCAGCCAUGCCGCGUGUAUGAAGAAGGCCUUCGGGUUGUAAAGUACUUUCAGCGGGGAGGAAGGCGAUGCGGUUAAUAACCGCGUCGAUUGACGUUACCCGCAGAAGAAGCACCGGCUAACUCCGUGCCAGCAGCCGCGGUAAUACGGAGGGUGCAAGCGUUAAUCGGAAUUACUGGGCGUAAAGCGCACGCAGGCGGUCUGUCAAGUCGGAUGUGAAAUCCCCGGGCUCAACCUGGGAACUGCAUCCGAAACUGGCAGGCUUGAGUCUCGUAGAGGGGGGUAGAAUUCCAGGUGUAGCGGUGAAAUGCGUAUAGAUCUGGAGGAAUACCGGUGGCGAAGGCGGCCCCCUGGACGAAGACUGACGCUCAGGUGCGAAAGCGUGGGGAGCAAACAGGAUUACAUACCCUGGUAGUCCACGCCGUAAACGAUGUCGACUUGGAGGUUGUGCCCUUGAGGCGUGGCUUCCGGAGCUAACGCGUUAAGUCGACCGCCUGGGGAGUACGGCCGCAAGGUUAAACUCAGAUGAAUUGACGGGGGCCCGCACAGCGGUGGAGAUGUGGUUUAUUCGAUGCACGCGAAGA